rnacentral:tRNA from 1 species
GGGGAUAUGAUGUAACUGGUAGCCAUAAGGGUCUUAGAAUCCCUCGCCUUCGGGCGUGAGAGUUCGAAUCUCUCUAUCCCCA